rnacentral:lncRNA from 1 species
AUGCGGUCCUGGUGUCUGUGCCGGAGGGGGUCUCAGGCUGGUGGGCUGUUGCAGUGGAGUCUGCUGUUGGGGGGCCGCGCUGGGCUGUGGGGGAGCCUGCUGGGGCACCCUGUGUGCUGGGCAAAGCCUCCUGGCCCUCCUCAGGGCUCGGAGCAUCGGUCCCUGCCCCCGGAGCACCGAGUCUGGCUUCAGGGGGGGCCGACCGAGCGUCAGGAAGGCUGGGUCUGCUGCCAAGGGGUCUUGGCUGAACCCCUGCACCUCCUGCUUGGACCCCUGGAGGUGCUGGCUGUGUCCCUGGGAUGGUGGCCCCAGUGUGAGGAGACCCUGGUUGUGUCCCUGCAGUGGUGGCCUGGGUGCCAGGGGACCCUGGCUGUGUCCCUGAGACAACGGACACAGUGCCGGGGAACCCUGGUUGUGCCCCUGGGAUGGUGGUCUGGGUGUCUGGGGACCCUGGCUGUGUCCCUGAGACAGUGGCCCCAGUGCCAAGAGACCCUGGUUGUGACCCUGGGAUGGUGGCACGGGUUCCAGGGGACCCUGGCUGUGUCCCUGAGACGGUGGCCCCAGUGCCAAGAGACCCUGGUUGCGCCCCUGAGACACUGGUCUGGGUGCCUGGGGACCUUGGCUGUGUUCCUGCGAUGGUGGCCUGGGUGCCGGGAGAACCUGGCUGUGCCCCUGGGAUGGUGGUCUGGGUGCCCGGGGACCCUGGCUGUGCUCCAGGGACGGUGGCCUGGGUGCCAGGAGACCCUGGCUGUGCCCCUGGGAUGGUGGCCCCAGUGCCAGGGGACCCUGCUUGUGCCCCUGGGGUGCUGGCACCGGCGUCAGAAGCCCUUGUCCCAUCUGCGGGAGGGCCCGUCCAGGUGGCUGGUGCUCCCGGCAUCCCUGCUCGUGUCCCCAGGGAGUCAGGCUGCGUCCCUGGAGUCCCCCCUCUGGGGUUGGGCUGGAUCCCCGAGGCCUCAGCAGCCUCACCGAGGGGCUCGUCGGGGGAGGACCGGCCCAUUUUGGCCUCCUGGAAGCAAAAGGAAAAAGGCAGCAAGGUUACGGGCAGGCGCCAACCUCCAGCACCGGUGGCUG